GUAAUGCUUCAGCUCGUUUGUCAACCGCCAAUAAACCCGAGAAGAAGAAGGAGAAGAAGAGGCAGCCAGUCAAAUGCUUUAUUAGUUUCGUUUCUGAGGCUUUGUGUAUAUGUGCUUUCUCUGGAGAUUUUUAGGUUUACAACACCGACACAUUAGGUAGAGACACAUUCAUUUGAUGAUGGAUGCUAUUUAUGUAAUAUGCAACAACAUGACAACUUUGCAGACCAACAUACACGCAAAAAACAAACACAAACAAACACAAACAGACGAAAAGAUACUUAGCAGAUGAAUCUGAACGGACUUUUCGACGAGGAAUGAGGUCGAGAGACAUAUCUACAGACCAGAAUAUGACAGGCUUUAUCAUAUCAGUCAUGUUGUCCUUCUGAAAAGUUACAACCACUUACACAGAACACACUAGCAGAUGACGUUACACAGCUGGAACUGGAGCAAAAAUAUUGAGCUGUCAACAUUUCUCUGAUCGUUAUAAUUAUCAUUCGAAACAUAAGAUGCAGCGAUUAUUCCCUUCUAACAGAGCAAGCCACAAUGAGCUUGUUUUUUCACAAACAUGCUGAGAAAGGCCUACCAAAAGAACCGGGUUGUUGCACCCAUUCAUUGCUAAUGUGUUCCUUGACAUCACCACCAUCCUGCAAUGUACAGGAACUGGAGGACUGGUUGUUGACAAUAUGAUACCAGAUAUACCAGGAGAGCAAUCUCCUCGUCAUUGAAUAAAUGCCUUGUAACAUGGCUGCUGUUCUGCAGGCUAGAGGAGGUCCUACAGGUUAUUAGGUGGGAAGUCAUAAUGGAAUAGCCCAUCUUUAUGUCUAAUAAAAUAUAUAAUAAAAAUGUAAUUGCGACUUUAUCUCAUAGCCAGAUAGCCAGAUAUACCAGAUUUUUUACAUCAGUUAAACCUUUUUGACCUAAUAUGUUUACUUGAAGUAAACCCAAAGAUUUUCUGUUAAUAAUUUAGGUAAAUAAAACUCAUUUUAUUAACAACAACAAUAAAUAUCAAAUUGAAGAAAAAGGUCUUCUUUUGUCAGAAUUGUACUUUAUAGCUUGCAACUAUUAGAAAAAAAGUAAGAAUUGGGAGAUAAUAUAAAAAUACAAAUAUAUAAAGUCACAAUUAUCUUUAUGUUUAAUUAUUAUUAUUAUUUGAUGUGGGAGAAAUAAGCUUCCAACAGUAGGGUUUCUAGAAUAAUCCUAAUCGUAAACAAAAAUGUUCCAGCAGUCUCAUUAUGGGUACUAGUAAUCAGGUACUACCCAGCUCUGUAUAUGACUGAGAAACGCAGCAUCAUAGCGCACCCUGUUGUGUAAAAGUGAUCUAUUGGAACAAGAUGAUUUACUGAACAGUAGAGAGCAAUGAUGCCCUUGUUUUGAAUUUGCCAAUUUCCUCAUUAUACAGGAGCACAGAGAGCAGUGAAGGGUGGGAUCAGUAUUGAAUAAAGUUAGUAUAUUUCCAUGCAUGUUAAGCUAAAAAUAUGUACAUUUUAUGUAAAGCCCAUAGGCCUAAAAAAACAAAACAUUGUCAAUAUGGGACAAAGAGAACAGAUGAUCCUGGCAGAGAUUCCAUAUGAACUAAAAGAUGAGAGUAAGGGUCCUUAUGAGCUUUCCAGUGAAUUCAUUUUUGAUCAUCAUUUUUUUUUCAUAUUUCCAUACACAGGCUCCCCCUUUGAUUUCUGCAAAGAAAAAUACAGUCAGUCAAGAACCUGCUGAUUCAGUAGUUUAACAACAUUAUCCAUGGCUAUUCACUAUAGACCAAACUUUACAAAACCUUGUUAAAGUUUCUUUAAAAUAAUUUAUGUGACUGGUCAUUGUUUUGUUAUUUAUAUUUAAAUGUAACCUAUGUGUUGCAGUAAAAUAAUGUGAAUGAAGCAAGACAAUUUAAUUGUAACAGACAUAUUGCCAACUUUUGGGAUGGAUGUAUCUGUGGCAAAAAGUUUUUUUUUUUUUUUUUUUUUUAAUGGAAACGUUUAACACCCUGUUCUGAUGACGCAACAGUUGCAACUAUGGCAGCUGAGAAGGCCAUUCAAUUGAUAAAUUAACGGUUAAUUAAAGAUGUAAAGGGAACUUACACUGUAGUAUUAAUUUUAAAAAUAAACUGACAUUAGGACUCAA